rnacentral:rRNA from 1 species
AUAGGUAUGCUUAGGGAGGAGCUUGCGUCACAUUAGUUAGUUGGUGGGGUAAAGGCCUACCAAGACUAUGAUGUGUAGCCGGGCUGAGAGGUUGAACGGCCACAUUGGGACUGAGACACGGCCCAAACUCCUACGGGAGGCAGCAGUAGGGAAUUUUCGGCAAUGGAGGAAACUCUGACCGAGCAACGCCGCGUGAACGAUGAAGUAUUUCGGUACGUAAAGUUCUUUUAUUAGGGAAGAAUAAAUGAUGGAAAAAUCAUUCUGACGGUACCUAAUGAAUAAGCCCCGGCUAACUAUGUGCCAGCAGCCGCGGUAAUACAUAGGGGGCAAGCGUUAUCCGGAAUUAUUGGGCGUAAAGGGUGCGUAGGCUGUUAAAUAAGUUUAUGGUCUAAGUGCAAUGCUCAACAUUGUGAUGCUAUAAAAACUGUUUAGCUAGAGUAAGAUAGAGGCAAGUGGAAUUCCAUGUGUAGUGGUAAAAUGCGUAAAUAUAUGGAGGAACACCAGUAGCGAAGGCGGCUUGCUGGGUCUUUACUGACGCUGAGGCACGAAAGCGUGGGGAGCAAACAGGAUUAGAUACCCUGGUAGUCCACGCCGUAAACGAUGAGUACUAAACGUUGGGUAAAACCAGUGUUGAAGUUAACACAUUAAGUACUCCGCCUGAGUAGUACGUACGCAAGUAUGAAACUUAAAGGAAUUGACGGGACUCCGCACAAGCGGUGGAUCAUGUUGUUUAAUUCGAANGUACCCGAAAAACCUCACCNGNCUUGACAUGCUUCUGCAAAGCUGUANAAACACAGUGGAGGUUAUCAGUUGCACAGGUGGUGCAUGGUUGUCGUCAGCUCGUGUCGUGAGAUGUUGGGUUAAGUCCCGCAACGAGCGCAACCNNUAUUGNUANUUGCCANCACGUAAUGG